rnacentral:rRNA from 1 species
UGGGGAAUUUUGCGCAAUGGGGGAAACCCUGACGCAGCAACGCCGCGUGGAGGAAGAAAUAUCUUGGUAUGUAAACUCCUUUCGAUAGGGAAGAUAAUGACGGUACCGAGAGAAGAAGCCCCGGCUAACUUCGUGCCAGCAGCCGCGGUAAUACGAGGGGGGCAAGCGUUGUUCGGAAUUAUUGGGCGUAAAGGGCGCGUAGGCGGUUUGACAAGUCUCAUGUGAAAUCUAUGGGCUCAACCCAUAGUCUGCAUGGAAAACUGUCGGGCUUGAGUAUGGGAGAGGUGAGUGGAAUUUCCGGUGUAGCGGUGAAAUGCGUAGAUAUCGGAAGGAACACCUGAGGCGAAAGCGGCUCACUGGACCAUAACUGACGCUGAGGCGCGAAAGCUAGGGGAGCAAACAGGAUUAGAUACCCCCGUAGUCC